rnacentral:rRNA from 1 species
UACGGGGGGGGGCAAGCGUUUGUUCGGAAUUACUGGGCGUAAAGGGCUCGUAGGUGGCCAACUAAGUCAGACGUGAAAUCCCUCAGCUUAACUGGGGAACUGCGUGUGAUACUGGCGGGCUCGAAUUCGGGAGAGGGAUGUGGAAUUCCAGGUGUAGCGGUGAAAUGCGUAGAUAUCUGGAGGAACACCGGUGGCGAAGGCGGCAUCCUGGACCGAGAUUGACGCUGAUGCGCGAAAGCUAGGGUAGCAAACGGG